rnacentral:tRNA from 1 species
UUUCUCUUAGCUUAAGACAAAAGCAUCAAUUUGAAGCAUUGAAGAUAAUUUAAUUAGAGAGUC